CACCUACUCCCUCCGUCCGAAAAUACUUGUCAUCAAAAUGGAUAAAAAGAGAUGUAUCUAGAACUAAAAUAUGUCUAGAUACAUCCCCUUUUAUCCAUUUUGAUGACAAGUAUUUCCGGACGGAGGGAGUAGUUG
rnacentral:pre_miRNA from 1 species